rnacentral:rRNA from 1 species
UACGAAGGGGGCUAGCGUUGCUCGGAAUCACUGGGCGUAAAGGGUGCGUAGGCGGGUCUUUAAGUUAGGGGUGAAAUCCUGGAGCUCAACUCCAGAACUGCCUUUGAUACUGAGGAUCUUGAGUUCGGGAGAGGUGAGUGGAACUGCGAGUGUAGAGGUGAAAUUCGUAGAUAUCAAGAGGAACACCUGAGGUGAAGACGGGUUGCUGGGCCGACACUGACGCUGAUAGCGCGAAAGCCAGGGGAGCAAACGGG